AUACUUACCUGGCAGGGGAGAUACCAUGAUCACGAAGGUGGUUUUCCCAGGGCGAGGCUUAUCCAUUGCACUGGAUGUGUUGAUUCUCGAUUUCCCAAAUGUGGGAAACUCGACUGCAUAGUUUGUGGUAGUGGGGACUGCUUCGCUUUCCUG
rnacentral:snRNA from 1 species